CUAAACAUGCUGAGCAGAUGCACCUGCCCAAGAGGGCACCUUUACUGCCAUGAUGCUGGCUUCAAAAAUAUUGGGGUUUUUAAAGGGAAGUGGGAAUCAGAAUCUGAAAGGAGGAACAUGCUGUCUUCGGCAACUGUGUUACCAAACUGGCACCUGUAAUCAAUCAGAACUGCAACUGGCACAUCUCCACGUCAGGGAAGAUGCACACCACUGGCUAUCAAUCCUGUAGGGCAGCACAGACAGUUCCUGAGCCCCAGAACCUGUGCUAAUAGCAGGAGACUGCUUGGACACCACUAUUUCUGGCGUGACCCUUUGAGAGUGUUUUGGGUUCCUACUACAGGAACUUUAAGCCUCACUUCCAGCAUGGUGAUGACAAUGGGACAGAGACCUCACCAGUAGCACCUCCACAGGCUCUGGUUUCAGACUAUUCAUCUUUGGCUAUGGCUGGGCUGUUUCACACUCGUGUUUAGGCAGGGGUGUGCAGUUUUCCCCCUCAGCUGGUUGGCAACUGGAUGCUCAGAAGUUCUACAGCCAGUGCAGGGAUCCUGGCCCUGGGCUGCUCUGAUCAGGGUGAGAUACAGCCUUGCCUGAGGCAAUGUGUUUUUGAGCACCUUCCUGCCAAGGUACAGGCUUCACAGAGCUGCCAGAGGAGAGACGUGGGAGGGGAGAGUGAGUUUGAUUUUCUUCUGAGACAACUCCAACUUUGGAAAAGUUGUGUCUACAUUUCAGGCCUGAAAGCAUCCCCUCCCCUUCUCCAGGGGCCUAGAGUGCCCCUGCAUUAACUUCUCCCAUGUGAGGUACCUCCCCUUAGGUUUUGAAACUUUAAUGUCAUAACCUGUUUGUCCUGUUUAAAGCACAGGGUAGGGCUGGGGAGCUGACAGACCCUGAGCAAGCUGCGCCUCCAGCUACUCUGCAUCCUUAUGGCUCAGCAGGGAAGAAAGAGGGGGAAAAUAACUCUUAGAACCUCUACAUUUUGCUGUCUCAGGGUGGGAUUUUCCCCCUCAAAAACAGCAUCAAAAAUAGCACAAUGACAUUUGGAUGUAGGUCUUGGCUCUGAGAGGGCUCAGUGGAGUGUUUAGCAGUGUGUUCACCUGAGGGCUUUGUCCCCAGACCUCAGCCCAUAUGUGAAGGCCGCUCACAGUGAUCCCUGAGAUGAAAAGGCUCCUUCCCUAUCUCCAGAAUAAGUCUGGCAUCUCUCAUCCUGACCCAUGUCAGCAACUUGUGCACACAAAGCUGUGGGGCUACAGCUGUGACGUAGCUGCAGCACAGCUGCUCAGCACCGGCACACCUGACUGGGCACAGGCACAGGCCAGCAGCCAGGGCUGUACACAGAAAAUGCCCUUACUGCUUCAUCAUCUGUCUUUGCAUGCCCCUGCCACUGCUGACCCCCAGACAGACCCCAAGGAAGACCUUACAGCAGACAGCCAUCGAUGGCAACACAGCAGGUGCACACACAUUGUUGGUGAGCAUUGCUGCUCAUCCAAACACACCCUGGAAACACUCACUGUUUCCAUAAAGCCCUGUAUUGACACCUUGAUGCAGUUGUGGCAUGGCUAAUGAAGGAAGUGGGCUAUGAUGUUCUUGGCAUCCAUAAGGUAAACAGUCAAAAAAGAGAUAAAAUGCAUUUUUAAUGCCAGCAGUGCUGUGUCCAGCACAUGGCUUUUCUGGGAUUUGUGUUUCCCGGGAUCUCUGAGAUUUUUGAUGCAACUUGUCACUUGAAGAAAGGAUGAGGCUUCAAAACUUUUUUAAUAGAACAGAAUUUUCAUCUUAACAUAGUCAAGACUAUUUUCAAAUACAUGAGGUCCUAUAUAUAGGAAUAUAUUUGUAGAAAUAGGAGAUUUUUGUUUUGUUCUGUUCUUUAAUGAUGAAGAGAGUAGCUGUGCCGAAUGUUUGGUGCCGAAUGUGAUAACGCCUGUGCCAGGCUCCAAGAUUAAUACAGUCGGGAGUGGGCCAGCACUCAACCCCUGGACAGUGUCUGGGCACCCAGGCUGCAGGAUUUGGCAAGGUCACAGGUGAGGUCAGGUGUAAUUCUCUGCCUGCUUGCUAGUCAAGACCCAACCCGAACCUGGUAUGAGUAAGAUGUCUGAGCAGUUGGCCAGAAAAUACUUCAAAACCCACUUGAAGUGGCAGUGGGCAGCUACCUGUUACCACACCUUGUUUUCUUCAGUGAGUCCCUAUGACUCCUUUUGGAAUUGUGUUUUCAGCCCAAGAACAGAUAUCAAAGUCCUUUGACACAGGUGCAGGCAUGUAGAGACAUGAAGCCCUCGGACCUGGCACCUCCUGGGGAGGCAGCUUGUAUGGCUUGGUGGCUCAACAUGUGCUCCAAAUGGUGCCAAGCACCUUCGCCUUUUGGAAGUGACAAACAGAAAGCCAAGCACCGCUGCCACCUGACAGGAAACAUCUGCAAUCAGUGAAUCAUAAAGCA